rnacentral:rRNA from 1 species
CACAAGCAGCGGAGCGUGUGGUUUAAUUCGAUGUUACACGAAGAACCUUUACCAGGGUUUGACAUGCAAGUGGUAGGAAGCCGAAAGUGACCGACCCUUCGGGGAGCUUGCACAGGUGCUGCAUGGCUGUCGUCAGCUCGUGUCGUGAGAUGUUCGGUUAAGUCCGCUAACGAGCGCAACCCUCGUCGUAUGUUAUAUGUGUCAUACGAGACUGCCGGUAAAAGCCGGAGGAAGGUGAGGAUGAUGUCAAGUCAGCAUGACCUUUAUAUCCAGGGCUACACACACGCUACAAUGGUCUGUACAAUGGGUAGCCAAGCCGCGAGGCGGAGCCAAUCCUGAAAGCAGGCCUCAGUUCAGAUUGCAGUCUGCAACUCGACUGCAUGAAGCCGGAGUUGCUAGUAACCGCAGGUCAGCAAUACUGCGGUGAAUACGUUCCCGGGUCUU